rfam:Bacillus coagulans 36D1, complete genome.
UCCGGUGAUGAUGGCGGAAAGGUCACACCCGUUCCCAUCCCGAACACGGAAGUUAAGCUUUCCAGCGCCGAUGGUAGUUGGGGGUUUCCCCCUGCGAGAGUAGGACGUUGCCGGGC